AGAAUCAACGCUGGCGGCGUGCCUAACACAUGCAAGUCGCACGAGAAAGUGGAGCAAUCCAUGAGUAAAGUGGCGCACGGGUGAGUAACACGUGAAUUAUCUACCUCCGAGUGGGGAAUAACUGAGAGAAAUCUUAGCUAAUACCGCAUAACACUUACGAGUCAAAGCAGCAAUGCGCUUGGAGAGGAGUUCGCGGCCGAUUAGUUAGUUGGCGGGGUAAUGGCCCACCAAGACGAUGAUCGGUAUCCGGCCUGAGAGGGCGCACGGACACACUGGAACUGAAACACGGUCCAGACUCCUACGGGAGGCAGCAGUGGGGAAUUUUUGCGCAAUGGGGGAAACCCUGACGCAGCAACGCCGCGUGGAGGAUGAAAUCCCUUGGGAUGUAAACUCCUUUCGAUAGGGAAGAUAAUGACGGUACCUAUAGAAGAAGCCCGGCUAACUUCGUGCCAGCAGCCGC
rnacentral:rRNA from 1 species